rnacentral:rRNA from 1 species
AGUGAACGCUGGCGGUAGGCCUAACACAUGCAAGUCGAGCGGCAGCACAGGAGAGCUUGCUCUCUGGGUGGCGAGUGGCGGACGGGUGAGGAAUACAUCGGAAUCUACUCUGUAGUGGGGGAUAACGUAGGGAAACUUACGCUAAUACCGCAUACGACCUACGGGUGAAAGCAGGGGACCUUCGGGCCUUGCGCGAUUGAAUGAGCCGAUGUCGGAUUAGCUAGUUGGCGGGGUAAAGGCCCACCAAGGCGACGAUCCGUAGCUGGUCUGAGAGGAUGAUCAGCCACACUGGAACUGAGACACGGUCCAGACUCCUACGGGAGGCAGCAGUGGGGAAUAUUGGACAAUGGGCGCAAGCCUGAUCCAGCCAUACCGCGUGGGUGAAGAAGGCCUUCGGGUUGUAAAGCCCUUUUGUUGGGAAAGAAAUCCAGCUGGCUAAUACCCGGUUGGGAUGACGGUACCCAAAGAAUAAGCACCGGCUAACUUCGUGCCAGCAGCCGCAGUAA